GUGGGGAAUAUUGCACAAUGGGGGAAACCCUGAUGCAGCGACGCCGCGUGAGCGAAGAAGUAUUUCGGUAUGUAAAGCUCUAUCAGCAGGGAAGAAGAAAUGACGGUACCUGACUAAGAAGCACCGGCUAAAUACGUGCCAGCAGCCGCGGUAAUACGUAUGGUGCAAGCGUUAUCCGGAUUUACUGGGUGUAAAGGGAGCGCAGGUGGUACGGCAAGUCUGAUGUGAAAGCCCGGGGCUCAACCCCGGUACUGCAUUGGAAACUGUCGGACUAGAGUGUCGGAGGGGUAAGUGGAAUUCCUAGUGUAGCGGUGAAAUGCGUAGAUAUUAGGAGGAACACCAGUGGCGAAGGCGGCUUACUGGACGAUUACUGACGCUGAGGCUCGAAAGCGUGGGGAGCAAACAGGAUUAGAAACCCCGGUAGUCC
rnacentral:rRNA from 1 species